AACGAACGCUGGCGGCAGGCCUAACACAUGCAAGUCGAGCGGACCCUUCGGGGUUAGCGGCGGACGGGUGAGUAACGCGUGGGAACGUGCCCUUUGCUUCGGAAUAGCCCUGGGAAACUGGGAGUAAUACCGGAUACGCCCUUUUGGGGAAAGAUUUAUCGGCGAAGGAUCGGCCCGCGUUGGAUUAGGUAGUUGGUGGGGUAAUGGCCUACCAAGCCGACGAUCCAUAGCUGGUUUGAGAGGAUGAUCAGCCACACUGGGACUGAGACACGGCCCAGACUCCUACGGGAGGCAGCAGUGGGGAAUCUUAGACAAUGGGGGAAACCCUGAUCUAGCCAGGCCGCGGGAGCGAUGAAGGCCUUAGGGUUGUAAAGCUCUUUCACCGGGGAGAUAAUGACGGUACCCGGAGAAGAAGCCCCGGCUAACUCCGUG
rnacentral:rRNA from 1 species